rnacentral:rRNA from 1 species
AUUGAACGCUGGCGGCAGGCCUAACACAUGCAAGUCGAGCGAGCGGCGGACGGGUGAGUAAUGUCUGGGAAACUGCCUGAUGGAGGGGGAUAACUACUGGAAACGGUAGCUAAUACCGCAUACCAUCAGAUGUGCCCAGAUGGGAUUAGCUAGUAGGUGGGGUAACGGCUGACCUAGGCGACGAUCCCUAGCUGGUCUGAGAGGAUGACCAGCCACACGGGAGCUGAACCCCGGGCCAGACUCCUACGGGAGGCAGCGGUGGGGAAUAUUGCACAAUGGGCUCAAGCCUGAUGCAGCCAUGCCGCGUGUGUGAAGAAGGCCUUCGGGUUGUAAAGCACUUUCAGCGGAGGGGCGUUACCCACAGAAGAGGCACGGGCUAACGCCGUGCCAGCAGCCGCGGUAAUAC